AAUACUCAAGCCAAAAGCGAGGCUUCUGAGGCUGAAGUUGAAAGAGACUCGGGGCAAAAAUUCAAAAGCAAAACCUAAAAACGUGGACAAAAAAUGUAAUUGUGGGAAGUUUUCCUAUACUUCAAAUAGAAUUAUUAAUGGGAUACAGGCUACGAAAAAUGAAUUUCCUUUUCAGGUCUCGAUCCAAGUAAAAC